GAUAUUUAUAAAUUUUAACAUUGAAACAAUUUCUAUUCAGAAAAACUUCUCGUUACGAAUCGAAUGGCGCUUUAAAUCUGUUCCCGUACAUCAUCUUCCUUGUUUUCCUCUCCAAUUUCCCUUAAAUCCCAAACCCUAACAUUUUCUUCAUCUACACAAUCAAAAUCAUUUACAUCUGAAAUUUUCCCAAAAUCUCAAACUCUUGUUUUUCAUUCACAAAAUCUAAAGCAAAAUCAUUUUCUUUUCAAAUUCGUCAGAAAAACCCAUUAGUCAUCACAUUUGCAUUUUAACUUUUAGAUUCAAAUUUUAAAUUUAAACCUUCCAGCACUUCUACUAAAUCGAUUACUUUGGCGAUAUAAAUCAGCACAAAACAAAUCGAAAAGGCAGAAGCUGCCAAAAAAGAUUAUGAAGUUCAUUGCAGUAUUGCUGAGAAGCGACAAUGAAGUUGCUUUGAAGGAGUUGGAUAACUCGUGUGCUAUACCAAAGUCCCAUUCUUUCUGGUGGUUUGAAUCAGAAAGUGUGAUUAUAUAGAGGAAAGUGUGAAAUCUUUGAUCUAUGUCAUUACCCAGGUAUAAUGGUCAUCUGAAGCAAGUGAAUGGAUUCAAUUUUUGAAUUGUAGCAGACUUCAUAUUUCGCUGGAAAAAGGGUACCUCGAGCCGCUAAUCUUGGCCCAUUACACAGAUUUCUAAAUGAUCUGGCUGAAGAACGACUUACAAUUAAUCAUCCAUUGUAGGAAGAUGAGUUAAAUUUUUUAAACUUCACCUUAUAUAAGUUCAAUGCACUGAUUUCAGGUUGUGCUUUUCCAUUCAGAGACACUACAUGGAUAUAUACAUGACAAAUUCCUUAGAAAUUUCCUGCAUCAAAAUUGUGCAUUCUAUUUGAACUUUUUGUCCAUGGUUCUCGGCUUCAUAACUGCAAUGGUAGUAUCUUAAGCAAGAUCUAGGAAUUUAUUGCACUGUAAAGAUGGGAUAAGUGCUACUUAUAAUUUAGUUUGGUUAUUAGAUAAUAAAAUACUUUGCUAUA